UAAAGGUAUGAUUGGAUGACUAUUCAGUGA
rnacentral:piRNA from 1 species